CAGCCCAACUUGUGAAAUUUCCCACCAAGGUAAACGCUCCAAUUUAACCGGAAAUUACCCCUGCCAUUUGCAGUCGUCCGACCUCGCUUCCCAAAUCGUCGCCAACUUCACCCCGCCUCAGAUCACCUUCGCCGGCGCCGCCAUCGAACCCUUCCUCCACAACCACUCGUGCUACCCAAACUCUUCGGCUUCAACGAGCAACCGCCGCCAGCUCAGCUCAGCAACCCUGAACCCCACCGCCUUCGUUUCGUCCUCCAACGACUCUGACAUCGCCUCUAGUGUUUUCAACUUCCACUCUCCCCACAGCGUGUCCUCCAUCUCAGACGAUCGUGUCCUCCAUCUCAUCCGUCGAUCAUCUCUGACCUCGCCUCUACGGCUAAUACUUGUUCGAUUUGCCAAAUGAAGAGAAUCUAAGAACAUUCUCAAACAAUUUACUUGGAAGUUUUACUACUCCACAAGAGCUCGAAAAGGUGGAUGAGAUUUCUACUGUGAAGACGCCGACCCUAUGCAAAAGUGUAUCAAUGUUUAUUUGAAGAAAGAAUGUCAAAACUGUGCGCGCAUCGAAGCAACAAUCACCAAGGUCAAGAAUUCACCUCAACAGAGUGCAGAAUUGUAACCUAGAUUGUGGUGUUGUUGUAUGCUACAUAAUACAGCAGUAUGUCAAGAAUGACCAAAUUGCUGAAUCUCUUUCCAAAGAAGAAUGUGACGACAUGAGAGCAACCGUGUUAAAUGCAUUCCUCACAGAUCCAGGAAGAAUGUGGGACACUAGUCCCCAAAAUGGGGAUGAAGAAUGAUGUUGCAGUGAGGCUCAAAUUUUGCAGUUUCGCUGUCCAGUGAUGUACAAAAAGGAAAAGGAAAAGGAAAAGGAAAAGGAAAGAAGAGAUACACUUGCACAUAUGAUGAAGUUUUUAAAUCAGUAGCUUUCCAUAUGCUUUAGAAGUUUUAGUAUUUUGACAAACAGUUAGGGAUUAGUGGAAAUCUGUUUGGUGCUUUUAGGUUGUUAAAUUGGAAUCAGUUAGUAAUCAGUUCCUUUUCUCUCUGUCUCUCUAAGCAUUUUAUAUGGUUGAGAAUGUUCUCAAACAGGAUUGCUUGAGAUGUCUCUGUGUAUAAGGUUUUCUAUUGGUUGUCUGAAUGUGGUAUUAUGUUCUUAGAUGGUUUCAUUGUGCUGCCCU